AGAUAGCAACAGACUCCGGGGCGAAUCCGCCUUCAAGUCGCCUGCUCCGCUGUACGCUCAGAUUCAAUUUGACAACGCGCACAGAAUAAGCCCCGCCUCCGCACAGCGCACUGUCAGUUUGCGGACUCGUCACAGACGCUGGGCGGAUUCACUGACCGGACGCGCCUUUUUCAGUUGUCGUCGUCGUCACUGAAUCCUUCACCUCACCGUGGAAAAGCUGGAGCCGACAGGUCGGUGAAGACUGAACACGGUAAGAAUAGUUAAAAUAUGCUUUAUUAUCCAGUAACUUUACCGUUAAUUGCUUUUUUUUUAGAAUGUUUGUAAUUUUUAAAAAUGACUGUGGCCAAGUUAGCUCUUCAGUGUCAUUAGCGUUAACUCAGAUUUGAGUGAAAAGUAAUUUGGCAAAUAACCUUUUGAGUAAAACGCUAUUUGGACAGAAUUUCUUUAUCUUUCUCGGAGGUGGGGUGAUUUAAUAAGCUUUUUAAAUAAGGUUUCAGUCCAAUCCGACCUAAACGCAAAUUUUCACUUCUUUCGAGUAAAAUAGCAGGCGAGAUAAGCUAAUGUUAGGCCUAACGUUACCUGUUUUUUUUUUUUUUUACUGAACUUCUAGUUGUUUGAGUCUAUUUUUUUUUGUUUACAUAUGACUAUUCUCCACCUCAUGUAAUGUUGUUUCAGAUCAUUAUUUCAUAUCAUAUUAAUUCAUAAUUAAUAAGUUACCGUGUGUGUGUGAACUGUUGCAGCUUACAACUCAUUCAAGUGCCACCAGUGUGCUUUUGGAGUAUUUCUUCUUUCUAUUUCAUCUUUCGUUUGAGGAAAGUAAGAUUAAAAACUGUUUUAAACUUGAUUUUGUCAAAUACUGAUAGUGGUCCACAACUACAGCUUUUAACAUGUAAUAAAUGUGCCAUUUCAAAAGAUUCAUACCAUUAUUUCUUACCAUAUUAAUUCAUAAUUAAUAAGUUACUCUGUGUGUGUGUGUGUGUGUGUGUGUGUGUGUGUGUGUGUGUUCUGUUGCAGCUUACAGCUCAUUCAAGUGCCACCAGUGUGCUUUUGGAGUACUUCAUCUUUCGAUUUCAUCUUUACCGAACAUCUGAGUAAAGUAAGAUUAAAAACUGUUUUAAACUUGAUUUAGCCAGCUAUUUAGUCAAAUACUGUUAAUUAGGGCUGGACGAUUAAUCGAAAAGUAAUCGAAACCAAAAUUCAGAACCUCUAACCGACGUAAUUGACAUAAAACACAGAGACGGGACGCGAGCAGUGAGCCUUGUGACUUCACUAAACUUUGUCAGUUGUAUGUGUAUUAUGGUUUAUGUGUAUUAGCCUACGGUUUGCCAGUUUAGACAUUCAAACGAUUAUACGAUCAGAUGUGUAUUAUUAUAUCAAGCUACCGUGCUCGCGCAGCUGCAUUGUGGCACGAACACAGAAACUAGUUGUCAGCGCUGUCCUGUGAUUUAUCACUAAAGUAGCUUAGAAGCUCAAAAGUUAGCAUAUAUUUUUCUACUUUUGAAGGAACUAUUUACAACCCACAGCUUCACAAUUAAUUGAGAAAUGGUAUAACUAAUUCACACAAGCAAUGUCUCUCAUUAUAUAUUGGUACUGUGCUAAUUUAUCUUUAUCUGAUUUACAACGAGCAGAAAUCUGUUAGAAAUGUUAUGAACCAUAGAUAAAAUAACUGCUGAAAGUGAGCUGUUAUGUCAGAUCACUUUUUCAAAAGGAAAAAAUAUCCCAUCUUUAAUAGUCAAGAAAAUUUACAGUACAAACCUUGUAAGUGAACUAUGAGGGCAAAACAAACAAACAAAUAAAAUAAUCGUUAAUUAUUAAACAAGGUAAAAUGUUUAAUUAAUCGAGGUUUUGAUUUUAGGUCAUAAUCGUCCAGCCCUACUGAUAAUUGUCCACACUACAACUUUUAACAUGUAAUACACGUGCCAUUUGAUUUCAAAAGAUUCAUACAAGGUUAGAAGUUUAAAAACCUAUGUUUUAGGCUGUUUUUUAGGUUUGUGUUUGUCAUUGGAAACGAGAUUUGCAUUAUAUAUAACAUUGUGGAAAGCAGUGAGUGGAGUUUACAUAGUAUACAAAGAAUUUUCAGAGAAGUUUUUGUUUAAAAACCUACUUUUUAGGUUUACAACCUACUUUGUUGGUUUCACUUUCAUGCAUCGGGCAGUCCUUACUGUCGAGUCUUGCUGUAUAUUUAUUUUUGAAAACACAAAUGUUUGUUCUUUUCCGCAACUCACUGGUUGCAAUCUGUCUUUAUGUUUCUGUAACAUUUCUUUUAGAUAAGAUGAAUAGAAAAACUGUUCCUGUCUCCAGCUCUACCUUAAGACGGAGGACCCAUGUAGACGUAGAUAAACGACUUAAACAAAUUAGGGAUGACUACAUAAAUUUGACUGACUUUCAAGUGACAACAGAGAGGGACCUUGUAGAUGUCAAUAGAGAGCUUUUUGAAGAAAGUCCAGACAAUCCAACUUAUUCAGAAACUGCAACUGGACUAGUCUUUAGUGAGGAGGAAGGUGGGAUGGAGGUAGAUGCAGACAUACAUUAGGGUUUCGUGAUUGGCAGCUGUGAUAGGCCGAUUCAGAAAUCUGAUUCAGAACAUUCAGAAGAUGAACGGCCUGAGACAUUUUCACUCUCUGACAGUAUUUCCAACUGGGCCAUACACUUUGGCAUUUCUUUGGUUGCUUUGACAGCCCUAUUGUGCAUACUUCGCAUUUGCCAUCCUGAUCUUCCAAAGGAUGCUAGAACCCUCCUUAAGACUAAGACAAAGUACACUAUUCUAGAAAGGGCUGGGGGACAAUACCACUAUUUUGGUAUUCUGUCAUCACUUAGGAAUACGCUGUCUAAAUACGUACACACACUGGCAGACGGAUUCAGUUUGAAGUUGCACAUAAACAUAGAUGGACUUCCUUUGUUCAAGAGCUCUAGUCUGCAACUGUGGCCCAUCCUUGGUCUGCUACUGAGUGUUCCCAUGAAAGAACCAGUAGUGAUAGGUUUGUUUUGUGGACCAAAGAAACCAAGCUCAGCAAAAGAGUUUCUUGGAGAUUUUGUUGCUGAGUUACAACAGCUUGAGAAAGGUUUUGAAAUAGAGGGUAAGACAUUGAAGCUCGAACUGGACACAGUGAUUUGUGACACACCAGCCAGGUCCUUUGUUAAAAACACAAAGAACCACAAUGGCUACCAUGGUUGUGACAAAUGUUCUCAGCCUGGAAAAUACAUUAACAGACGCAUGACAUACCCAUAUACAGACUAUCCUCUAAGGACAGAUGAUUCAUUUGAAAACAUGGUUGAUGAGAGUCAUCAUCAUGAGGGGCCACAUCCAUUUCAUGGCAGUAGUGUUGGCAUGGUUUCACAAUUCCCUCUUGAUUAUAUGCAUUUGGUUUGUUUAGGUGUGGUUAGGCGCUUGUUGAAUAUUUGGCUCAGGGGUCCUCUGAAUUUCAGAGUACCUGCAAACAUAGCAGAAAGAAUGUCUGCUAAACUAGUAGAAAUGCGUUCCUAUAUUCCUGUGGAGUUUGCCCGAAAGCCCAGAUCGCUGAGGGAGUUAGAUCGCUGGAAGGCAACUGAGUUUAGGCAGUUUCUGCUGUACACCGGACCUGUAGUGUUAGGUACCUUUCUGGACCGAAAUAUGUACAGCAAUUUCAUGCUACUCUUCUCUGGUAUUGCUAUUUUAGUAAGUCCUAGACUAUCCUGCCACACACAGUAUGCUCACACCUUGCUUAGAUCUUUUGUUUCUCACUUUGGUGAAAUAUAUGGCAAAGAUCAACUUGUUUAUAAUGUACAUUCUUUGGUUCAUCUGGCAGAUGAAGUACAACGACAUGGUUGUCUUGACGCAUUUUCUGCAUUUCCCUAUGAAAGUUACCUGAACAAGCUAAAAAGGCUUGUUAGAAAACCAGACUUUCCCCUUGCCCAAAUUAUUCGUCGAUUGUCAGAGAUGAGAAUUACUGAAACUCCUUUAAAUGGUGCCUCUUUUAAAAAACAGCAUUUUGUUGGGCCACUUGUAGAUGGACUGUCAGUGAAAGCACAGUAUGGUGAGAUGGCAUGUGACAAGUGGACAGUUAAAGUUUCAACUGGGGAUAACAUGUUUGUCAUUGGAAAUGAGAUUUGCAUUAUACAUAACAUUGUGGAAUGCAGUGAUGGAGUGUACGUAGUAUACAAAGAAUUUUCAGAGAAAUCUUUGUUCUUCACUUACCCAUUCAAUUCUGAAUAUCUGAAUAUCCAUAUCAUUUCACAAACAUCAGAUAUACUCAAGUGUGUUAAAGCUUCAGAGCUUGUCCAGAAAUGUGUUGCUUUACCUCAUAGGGAUGGUUUUGUGGCCAUACCCUUAUUUCAUACAUUUUAGGAAUGUCUCGCGCUACAAUUAGAAACAACAAAAACUCCACAGGUUAAAGGUUUAGUUCACCCAAAAAUUUAAAUUAAUUUACUCAUUUCAUCAUCAUUUUACUCCCCCAUACUGUUUUCAUUUUUGGGUGAACUAAACCUUUGAGGUUACAGAGGCUUAUCAGCUUUUUCUUUUUUUUAUUGGCAGUUAAAAGGCAAAGGAUGAAGCCAUUUUUAGCUUGUAAUAUUUUCCUGGGGAAAAUGAUGGUGGUAGUAUUGAUGGUAGUUUUAGUUGUAGCUCUUGUGUUCAUAUAUUAGCAGUAAGAACUGAUGCGGUUGCACAAUAGUUUUCACUGGACAGGUUUAUGCAAAAUUAGGAUCAGGCACAGUGACAAAAGACAUCACCAUGCAUCACCACAAAUACUGCAGUCUGAAACUGGAUAACAAUUGUCUUUAAGGAUGUUCCACUUAAUCGAGUUCCUGAUCAACAAAACGGUAGCAGUGGUGCCACAAACGUGGUGCAGAGAUGGAGUUGUCUAUUGGCCAAACUAUAGAAAUGAUGAAAGAGUAAACAGGGCAGUGAAAAAUUCGGAGGAGCCUGGACCUGACUGGAAAACAUAUGAUGUCAGAGUUAUUAAAACAUGUGGUAUGCUAUUCAUUUAUGUUUUGGAAUCAAAAUGACUAUUGUAAGCAAAUAUCAAAAUAUUUUGCCCUUAUGUAAUUGAAAAAAAAAAAAAAACAUUUAAUUAGGGAUGCACCGAUCAUGAUUUUUCAUGGCCGAUUACGAUACCGAUUUUUUACAAGCAAACUGG